AAAUGAUGUGGCUGUGGGUUUUUACUCUAAAAGGGGUAUUCACAUUCCAGUUCUAUACCGGUAUGGAGCUUUAGCGACAUUUUCAGUUUGCUAAGACCAGCUGACAAGCUAUGAGGUGGCACCACAUGGAUUUGAACUAUGAGCUCCGAUUUGUUUUGUUUUCAUCGUCGUAACGAGAAGCUCAGCUGGGAGCUACCGGGCGCAUCCACAGGUCGCCCAAAGUGUGAUGCUUAGCACAUGGAAGAGGUCGCUAGACUGGUAAAAAACAACCCAAAUAUUAAAGCAAUUGAGCUCAGAGGUUAGCAUGCCCGCCUUUGAUGCUGAACGGCUAGUUUCAAAUCGUGGCUAUAACUUCAGAAAAAAUGUGGCGAACUACGGCAAGCCGUUUGGGCUCGGUAAUAAAAAGGAGAUCCCUUAAAACUAAGCUUAAACUUGUAUGGGACAGUGCAUGGAUAUGAGAAGUAUCUCCGUAGUUCCUUAUUGGAAUUUUCAUGGGCAACUUUUGUAUUUUUUGCGCUAAUUAAAGGCUUUCCAAAUGUUUACCCAUAUUGGAAUUGAAACACAGAAUCGCAUUAAUAAAGGACAUUGAACAAACUU